rnacentral:rRNA from 1 species
UAACCUAGCCCAAGAGAUCGGGAUAACACCUGGAAACAGAUGCUAAUACCGGAUAACAACAGAUGAUGCCUAUCAACUGUUUAAAAGAUGGUUCUGCUAUCACUCUUGGAUGGACCUGCGGUGCAUUAGCUAGUUGGUAGGGUAACGGCCUACCAAGGCGAUGAUGCAUAGCCGAGUUGAGAGACUGAUCGGCCACAUUGGGACUGAGACACGGCCCAAACUCCUACGGGAGGCAGCAGAA